rnacentral:tRNA from 1 species
CGCCGACUGGAUCGUGGACGACCAUCUCGCGCUCGCCUUCGAGGCGGUCCAUUUCGAGGUCGGCGAUUCGUUGCGCGCGCUCGGCGCGCGCAACGGCGAC